UGGAAAACACCGGUUCUCGUUCGAUCACCGAAGCUAAACAUCGGUGCGCGGUCAGUACUUGGGAGGAUAACCACCUGGGAACAUCACG